rnacentral:snoRNA from 1 species
GUUGAGAUCUAUUCCGAUGAAGCUUUUCUGGUAAAGCUGCACAUCUUUAGAAACACCUCACAGAGAAACUUUGAUUUUGCUUGAUUCACAGGACUGUUUGUUAGAUCUGUGGGAAGGAACUGUAAGACAGAG